rnacentral:tRNA from 1 species
GAGAACCAUGGGAUGCAAUGAAACUGCUAAUUUCUAUCUGCUUGCGGCUCGACUCCGUAAGAUUCUCG